GGUUGCGAACCUCCCCCUCUUAUUGGGGUGGGGGUUCUGUUUCAGCCCCCGGGCUUGCACCCCUUUUUAUUGCCUCCGACUGCACGAUGAAGGUCAGCUGCAAGGAAUCCACACCUUUGUGAGCGCCCUGGCAGGGGCUCUGACAGCCCUCCUGGGGCCCCCACCGGCUGCACCUUAAAACCAGAAACAUGCAGCAGUUCUCUAGGACCAUGCCUGCCAGCCUGAAAACAUGCUGGAAUAAUCUUCAAGCCAAACAACCAGCCCAGACGAUCAUCCUUCACCCUACACCAAGCAUGUCAAACUCGCAGCCCACGGGCCACAUGUGGCCCACAAUGAAUAUUUUUG